GAUGAAGAACGCAGCGAAAUGCGAUACGUAAUGUGAAUUGCAGAAUUCAGUGAAUCAUCGAGUCUUUGAACGCACAUUGCGCCCUCUGGUAUUCCGGAGGGCAUGCCUGUCCGAGCGUCAUUGCUGCCCUCAAGCACGGCUUGUGUGUUGGGCUCCGUCCCCCGAUCCCGGGGGACGGGCCCGAAAGGCAGCGGCGGCACCGCGUCCGGUCCUCGAGCGUAUGGGGCUUUGUCACCCGCUCUGUAGGCCCGGCCGGCGCUUGCCGAUCAACCAAAUUUUUAUCUAGGUUGACCUCGGAUCAGGUAGGGAUACCCGCUGAACUUAAGCAUAUCAAUAAGCGGAGGA
rnacentral:misc_RNA from 1 species